UUAUACCAAAUUAAAAUUUGAUGUAUAAAAUUGCACAAAAUUAAAGUUUUUGUAUAUAAUUACACACUAAACCAAAGUUAUAGUACAGUUUUGAGAUUUAUCCCAAUAAAAUUAUAAGAAGAAAUUUAUUUUUCCAAAAAAAAAGCAUUAGCCAAUGUAAUAGGCCUAAUUUGCCUGGACCCAAAACCCAAAAAAAAACAGAAAUAAAACCCAAAAAAAUAAAUAGUCCAAACAGUCCACAUUACCAGCCUAAAUUACAAACCCAAUUAUAGCCCAAAUAAAUUAAAACCCUAAAACCCAAAACCUAAACAAAUUUUC
rnacentral:lncRNA from 1 species